rnacentral:lncRNA from 1 species
AGAUCCUUUGUCUAAAUAUUACAGAAAAGAGUAGGUAUGAGACCACCAGCAUUCCCGCCAAGCUGACAGCUUUGGUGUCUGGUGAGAAGCUGUUGAAGUAGAUUUAAUGGAGUGAUGAGAAAAGUUGAUUGCAAGUACUUGGUGUGAUCUACAUUUUGUAUUUUCAUUUUAGGAAAUGGUUUUCUAUGGCAAGCUUUGUUUUCUUUGAAACCUGACAGCAGUUUUUGAAUUCAAGCUCUGAAUUCUAAGAUCUUGGCCUAUUUUACUGUGUCUUGUAACAAAAAUGACAUAAUUUCCUCGCUCAGGGGCCAUACUAAUCAUCUCUGUGUCGUUCCAAUUUUAGUGUAUGUGCUACCAAAAUGAGCACGGUGUAAUUUCCUAUAACAUCUCUUUGCUGCCUUUUCUGGAAAACCCAAACUACCUGCCUGACUAUUCUUUGCCUCCCUUUCUUCCCCUUUCUUUUCUCUCCUCCCUUCCUUCCCCUUCCAUCCCUUUUCUUCCUUCUCAUUGUUUUUUUGAGACAGGGAAUUGCUGUGUAGUCCAGUCUGCCCUCAAACUCACAGUUCUUCCUCUGCCACCCAACUACUGCACACCAGGGCCCUGCACCUCCGAGGGAGCCAGAGCUCAGAAGCUGUCAGCUCUUGCCAUCACUAUAAAAUUCCCACUGCCUUCUAUGGAAUGUUUUUGUGCUUGAUGAUCACUGCCUAGAUCAAUGAGCAGUGGGAAUUAUAAAAUCAUGUGCUACUGUAAUUUAUGACCUGGAAUUAUCCUGUAGAGAGCUUUUCCCUCAAAUGUUACCCUGAAAUGAAGUUCACAUUAAUAGGCCUAAUUCUCUUUAUCAGUUUCUAUUGCAUUUAUUUUUGUUUGUUUUGAGACAGUGUCUUGCUGUGCAGUCCAAGUUGGCCUAGAACUCACUAUGUAGCCCAGGCGAUCUUCCUGCCUGAGCCUCCCAAGUGCUGGGAUUGCAGGCGUGCACCCCUGGCUCUAUUGCUUUUAAAAUGACUUAAAAAUGCCUACAUUAAACAUCUAUAUUAAGC